GACGAACGCUGGCGGCGUGCUUAACACAUGCAAGUCGAACGGUGAACGAGGGAGCUUGCUCCCUCCGGAUCAGUGGCGCACGGGUGAGUAACACGUGAGCAAUCUGCCCCGAACUCUGGGAUAAGCGUUGGAAACGACGUCUAAUACCGGAUACGACGCGGGAGGGCAUCCUCUCCGCGUGGAAAGAACUUCGGUUCGGGAUGAGCUCGCGGCCUAUCAGCUUGUUGGUGAGGUAACGGCUCACCAAGGCGACGACGGGUAGCCGGCCUGAGAGGGUGACCGGCCACACUGGGACUGAGACACGGCCCAGACUCCUACGGGAGGCAGCAGUGGGGAAUAUUGCACAAUGGGCGCAAGCCUGAUGCAGCAACGCCGCGUGAGGGACGACGGCCUUCGGGUUGUAAACCUCUUUUAGCAGGGAAGAAGCGAAAGUGACGGUACCUGCAGAAAAAGCACCGGCUAACUACGUG
rnacentral:rRNA from 1 species